CAGGUGGAACCACACUCCAAAGGCCCUGGCAUCAACCAGGCUCUGUUCACCACUCUAGGUGGUUUACUUCUGUAGAAGGGCAGAAGCAGCCAGUUUUGAUGGGCUUGCUGUGGUCCCUUCGUUUUUUUAUCCUAUUAUCCAAUUUUCCGCUGUGCCAAUCUCCUUCUGUCAUGCUGACGGCUAGCCAAGCUCACCUCCUUCCUGAAGAGAGUGGCACAUAGCACUUUUGCAUCAGAAUAGGCAGAAGAGAAAGCAGAAGGGGUGAUCGGUGCUGAAGCCAAAGCCUUGUAAGCUGUUUGACCACUCUGGUGGUGAAUUGAAGGUCAUUCAUCUUUAAGGAACUUCACACAUUUCUUGGAAAAGAGUUUUGCAUUUCUGCCUUCAGUCACACUGAAAAUUCCCAGCAUGACCAACGGACAGAGGGACAUAACAGCCUGCAUUCAGACUCCUUUGGGUGUGCCACUCAUCCCAAGGAAGCUGUCACCGAGAUGUCUUGGAUGUGAUUACCUUUACCGGGAGAUUUUUUUUUUUUUUUUACUUUCCCCUGAAAACUCAACCCUGCAGAAUCACCAUUGCUGCUGCUGCUUCCUGUAGACUGCAGUCAAAGGGCAUAGCUGGGCUGGGAUAAGAGCAUUGGAAGCUGGAUGGCAGAGAGUCUUGCUCCAGCUCCUCUUUGGUAGCUAAAGGAAGCUGACAACUGUGAUAAGGAUGAACAGCUGCUGCCACCACUAUCAGAAAGCAAUUUAUGGGGAUUGUUUGUAUGUGUGCAUGUGCAGGAUUCAAAGGUUGGUGAGUCCCCUGCCCAAGUCUGGAUCCUGGCAGGUACCUGACAGUGCCAACCCUUGAAUCCAAGCCUAGUUCCACCCUCUUCCCCCCCCCCUUCUCAUACCACUCUGACGUGAUCUUUGAAAGAAGUCAAACAUGCGGCUCCAUUGAGGGCAUUUCUACUGAUGUGUCCUAAUGGUUUGGUUUUAAGGCUGAUGCUAGCUUGCCUUCUAAAUGUCUCAUUCAAAGUCAUGUCUGGGCAAGCAAAUGUCAUUGUUCCUUUGCAAAUUCCAAGCUGCAUUUUCAAAUGAGCCUGCAUGAGCACAUAUGGCACAUGUCCAAUGGUUGCUUAUUGAACAGAUUUCAAGCAAUUACAUAUGACGCAGAGAAUGUCCAGACUCAGAAGCCUAAUCCAGAUUUUAAAAAGAAGAAAAAUGCCACCACCCUUUUAGCUGACUAGCUUUCCAUGUCAACACAAAAACAAUGUUUGAAGAUGUCCCUCAGCCAUGUUUAACAAACUCAGGAAGUUUCUGUGCAGGUAAUCCACAGAUGCUUCAGAUCAGGUGUAGCCAUCAAGGUGUCCUGUAGAUGUUGUGGACUACAAUUCCCAUUAGCCUUAGUGCCAGCAUGGCCUCUAGUCAGGGUGGAUGGGAGUUGUAGUCAAAAACAUUUGGAGGGUAGCACAAUGGCUACUCUGCUUUAGAUCCAUAUGAUAAAAAGUUGCCAACUGACUAGAAGGUGGUGGGGGUGGCCUGCUUCUGUGUAUUUUGAAAAGCAUCUUGAUCUGCAGAAAUCAGCUGAUGAAAGUCAGGGCAUGGAGGUAAGCAGGAUUGCCAUUUACUCAAGUGGCUGUUAAAGGCAUAGGAAGAGGGACCAGUGAAAAAGUUAGCAACUAAUUGGAAUAGUUGCAGUUGAAUUCAGAAUGAAACUCUAAGCUGCCACAGUUCUCUUUAUCACUGAUAUGUUGCUCCAGAAAGGUUAUGACACCAGGUCAUCUUAUGUUUUGAGUAAUUGCAGAUCAUUUUGUAAGCAAGCAAAUGCCUCUUUCUUACUCAUUAUUAUGUAUUACCUUUCUUUUCACUCAAGCCUUUGGUAUGCUGUCUUAGUCCUUUUUGUUUGCAUUUUAAGUUUUGUAACUUGUAUGUUUUUAAUUUUUUUAUAUUGUAUGUUUUUAAAAUGUGUUGUACGUUGCCUAGAGACCUCUGGGUAUGAGGCAACUAACAAAUUAAAUAAUGGCCUUUCAGAGUUUUACA